UACAAAGGAGAAGCAAGAGAAGCAUGUCAGGUAUUUUUCUGUUUCAUAUACAUAUUAGAACACAGCAUUAAUGUCUCAAAAAACUAAAAAAAGAUUGGGAUAGCACAAGACUCAAAAAAUGACUGAAGAGCAACAACACAAGAAUUUUAAAUAGCAAAAUGGUAGUCUGCUCUAGUUGUAAAUGUAAUAAAGGAAUGCCCUAACAAGCACCCACGCUCUCAACUUCCUUCUGGAAAGACUCAUUUACAUUACAAUAGUUGCCAAGGUUACGGUAACUCCAGCACAGCUCCUUUCUCCAGUCGCUAAUCUGGAGCCUGGGAGGUACAAGUACAACCAGAAAUCUUAAUUGAGGCUAACUCAAAUCUCAGUCUACUCAAAAGUUCGUGACCUAGAAAAGGAUUUUGUUUAGCAACAAAAAUUGCUGAAAGGUGGAGAACCUGCUUUAGGGAUACACAGCUAAAACACCACCUCAAAUUACAGAAAUGGUUUGGCAAAGAGAUGUUAUAGCUUGGGUUUCGCUAUGCAGCUCAGGCUGGCCUUGAGCUC